GACGAACGCUGGCGGCGUGCUUAACACAUGCGAGUCGAACGAAAAGGCCCUGCUUUUGUGGGGUGCUCGAGUGGCGAACGGGUGAGUAACACGUGAGUAACCUGCCCUUGACUUUGGGAUAACUUCAGGAAACUGGGGCUAAUACCGGAUAGGAGCUCCUGCUGCAUGGUGGGGGUUGGAAAGUUUCGGCGGUUGGGGAUGGACUCGCGGCUUAUCAGCUUGUUGGUGGGGUAGUGGCUUACCAAGGCUUUGACGGGUAGCCGGCCUGAGAGGGUGACCGGCCACAUUGGGACUGAGAUACGGCCCAGACUCCUACGGGAGGCAGCAGUGGGGAAUAUUGCACAAUGGGCGGAAGCCUGAUGCAGCAACGCCGCGUGCGGGAUGACGGCCUUCGGGUUGUAAACCGCUUUCGCCUGUGACGAAGCGUGAGUGACGGUAAUGGGUAAAGAAGCACCGGCUAACUACGUG
rnacentral:rRNA from 1 species